UACACAUAUAUAAUUAUUAUCAUAGAUGGC
rnacentral:piRNA from 1 species